rnacentral:rRNA from 1 species
UACAGAGGUCUCAAGCGUUCGUUCGGAUUCAUUGGGCGUAAAGGGCGCGUAGGCGGCGAGGUAAGUCGGGUGUGAAAUCUCAGAGCUCAACUCUGAAACUGCACUCGAUACUGCUUUGCUAGAGGACUGGAGAGGAGAUUGGAAUUCACGGUGUAGCAGUGAAAUGCGUAGAUAUCGUGAGGAAGACCAGUGGCGAAGGCGGAUCUCUGGACAGUUCCUGACGCUGAGGCGCGAAGGCCAGGGGAGCAAACGGG